GUUGAGGUCGAUUCAAGUGAACAGGAUGAUGUUUCACAGUUGCUGCUGGAUAGAUUUAAAUGUGUUCCUGCUUUUCUACCUCCAGACAUUUUAUCUAAAUAUUAUCACGGUUUUUGCAAACAGCAUUUAUGGCCUCUUUUCCAUUAUAUGCUUCCCUACUCUGCUAGUCAUGGCAGUCGAUUUGAUCGGUCGUGGUGGGAGGCAUAUGUUGCAGCAAACAAGAUAUUUUCCCAGAAGGUUAUUGAGGUGAUAAAUCCCGAGGAUGACUAUGUCUGGAUCCAUGAUUAUCAUUUAAUGGUUUUACCUACAUUCUUGCGUAGGCGUUUCAAUCGGCUGCGAAUGGGGUUCUUUCUGCAUAGCCCUUUCCCUUCAUCAGAGAUAUAUAGGACGCUUCCAGUGAGAGAGGAGAUUCUCAAGGCCCUACUGAAUUCUGACCUGAUUGGUUUCCAUACGUUCGAUUAUGCACGGCAUUUCCUAUCCUGUUGUAGUCG
rnacentral:misc_RNA from 1 species